rnacentral:rRNA from 1 species
AUGAAAAUGGAGGUGUGGGAUAAGAGUAAGAAGCUGAACUAUUGUGUUCUAGUGGUUUAUGGAUCUGCUCAUGAGGAGCAUAAGGUGGAAUUCCUGACUGAGCUGUCUGACAUGUGCGGUAAUAUUACUUACCCUUACAUUGUGGGUGGGGAUUUCAAUAUUUUAAGAUACGCCAGGGAGAAGAAUAACAGAACCAGAACUAGCCAUGCUUCUGAUCUGUUUAAUUACAUCAUCAAUACCUUAUGUCUUAGGGAGGUUGAUAUGAAUGGAGGCCUAUAUACGUGGUCGAAUAAGCAGCAAAAACCUACCCUAGAAAAGUUGGACCGAGUACUUAUGUCCAGUUCUUGGGAGAGGCAGUUUCCUUUAACGUUUGUUAGAAAGCUAGUCAAGGAGAUUUCGGAUGACAGCCCCUUGAUCCUGAAUAUUGAUGACUUUUUGCCUAAUCCAAUCCGUAAGAGAGACUUUAGAUUCGAUCUUAACUGGCUCAAAAUCCCGGAGUUUAUAACCUUAGUUGCUAAGGUGUGGUUGAAACCGGUCAAUUCUAAAAAAUCCCAUUGA